rnacentral:lncRNA from 1 species
AUAGGAAGUGACGAGUUAAAGACUUUCAUGUCUUAAAUUUUUUUCUCGAUGCAGAUUGCAGAAGGUAAACAGAAGUUGUGAUGAACUUUCUAAGUAUGUGCUGGCGUUCAAAGCAAUCACAAAAAAGAGAUAUUACUCGAGACGAGGGGUCACCUGUGUUUUGGCUAUUAGUCAAAGCAGCCACAAACCAAGAAACUUCGUAUUUCCUUGCACAGCACUGUCCAAGCAACUUCCAAAUAUUUGCUCACUAUAAAUUGACAGCAUUCCCUUGAAAAUCAUCAAGAAACUCCCACUUAACAUUUUUCAGCAAAAGAAAGCUAACUAGUUGGCCUACAGUGUCUUCACCAAUACUACUUCAUCGAAAACUGUUUUAGAUAACAAGAGAAAGCAAGAAAUGGGUCAUUUCUCAGCCAUUUUCAGUUGCUUUGUUCCAUCGGCUUCUUCAAGGGUUAUAGAUGAAGCCCAUAAGAAGGCAGAGAUUCCUAAAAGCAAAUCAAAAUCAUCAGGUGCUCCAAUCGUAGUUUCUUACUUCCCCAUGAACUCAUAUCUCUCUCGCUUGUAGCAAAUUCCAUUCCAGGAAGAUGAAGAAAGGCCAUGUGAUUGUUUAUGCAGCUCAGCAUAUGGCGGGAGCCUGUGCGGUUCUGAUUUUUUUUUUUUUUUUUUUAUGGAUAUGUUAUUUUAUUUGUUGCAAUAUCUAGGUAUUGCAAGAAUUGCUUAUCCUGUAAAGAAAACAAAGGAUGAAUACAAAAUCAUAUAUAAUUUUGUCCCGAAGUAAGAGUAAAAUUUAUGGAGUCCACCUCUCAAAUCAUUCACCCAUUAAAUUUAUUUGCAAAAUCUUAAUCCUACAGAUCCUGCACACCCCUAGAAACUUGCAAGCUUACAUCUAGUUUUUUAUUUUUGUAAUUGUGAAAUUGAUCAAAUAAUUUAUUUAAAUUGAUCAUAUUAUUUCUAUCUAGUUACUUGCAGCCCACAACUUAGUUAUAUGGUCAACCAAGUCACAAUAUUCCCCCUAAAAAUAACACAAUUUUGGAGAAUUAAUUCGAGGGCAGCAUAAAAAUUUUAGACCAGGUCGAUGGUUUGGAUUUCAUCCCAAAGAUAAAACAAUAAAAGAGUAAAAACUUAUCUUUUUAAGGGUUUUGAAAUUUCGGAUGUCUAUUUGUAGAUAAAAAAUCUUGAGGUAAAGAUCCAUGUGUAAGUUGUAAGAAAAUAUCUCAUACUAAAACAAUAAAAGAAAAACAACCAAGUAGUUUAUAGGCAAGAACGACGAAACCAACACCUAAUAAUUUAGAUUUUUUGGUAAAGAUGAUGUCUAUUCAUUAAUCUAAGCCCUCGACUGGCCUUGCAAAAUCUUCAUUUUCGAGAGGAUGUCUAUAUAUAUAUAUCAAAUAAAAUAUAGUGGUCCACAUGGUUUUAUCUAUUUGUCUUAUUAUAUUUAUUCAUCUAGUCUAUGAGGAAAAUGAUAAACUUCCGUCCUGUUUGUUUUGCUGGAAACUAGUUUUUUUUUGAAAAAUAGUUUUACUGAAAAGUAAAUUCCUGAAAAGUGAAUUAUUUUUUGGUAUUUGAAAGUGUCAUGAAAAUAAGUUGAAAAAUAUUUUUUAGUAUUUAGUUAUGACAUGGAAAAUGAGCUGAAAAAUAACUUAUUAAUUUUUUAAAAAACAUUAUUAAAAUAAUAAGAAACAAAUCUUACAAAUUAAAAAGUUGAAUGAGAAUGAAAUUGAAAAAAAAAUCUAAUUUCAUAAAUUAUCUCAAAUAAAAUAAAUAACAAUCAAAAUAAUGGAGAUCAAAUUUAACAGAUAAAAAAAAUAAAAUAUGAUGAAAUUACAAUAAUUAUAAUUAUAAUUUCAUAAAUUAUUUAAAAUAAAAUAAGUAACAAUCAAAAGAAUGAGAACUAAAUUUGAUAGAUAAAAAAUUUUAAUUAAAAAAAUAAUAAGAAAAAAAAUAACAAUCAUGAAAAUAAGGACCAAAGUUAAUAUAAAAAUCAAAUUAAAUCAAAUUUUAAGAGGUGAAAUUGAAGAAAAAAAUAUUCAAAACAAAAUAUAUUCAAUCAAAAAUUUGAUGAUCAAAUUUGUUAUAAUCAGUAAAUAAUAUGAUAUUUUUAAAUUUCUCACAACUUCUGGAAAGUGUUUUCCGCCCAAAAUAAAAGGAAAAUAUUUUUCUGAAAAUCAAACUAAAUUUUUUUUAACUGAAAAGUGUUUUCCAUUGACUAAUUUUCCUAAUAUAAUAAAUAAACAAAAAAUUAAUUUAAAAAUAAUUUCUAAAAAUCUAUUUUUAACAUAGCAACUUUUUAUUUUAGUUUUUAGUUGUUUUAGUUAAUUAAGCUCUCUCACGUACUUACAUAAUAAAUAAACACAAAAAUAAUUUAAAAAUAAUUUCUAAAAAUCUAUUUUUAACAUAGCAGCUUUUUAUUUUAUUUUAUAGUUUUUUUUUGUUAAUUAAGCUCUCUCACGUACGUUGAAUCCUGAAACCGUGUAUUCUGCCGGUGUUUGCUACACGCCGGUCCAACGAGCUAGGACAGGCUUAAUUAUCAAAUAGAAAGUGACAAUUGAAAGACUUUCAUGUCUUAAUUCAUGACUAGAUGCAGAUUGCAAAAUGUAAACAAAAAUUGUCAUGAACUUUCUAAGCAUGUGCUGCUGGUGUUCAAAGCAAGCACAAAAAAGAAACACGGGAUCAGCGGUGGCUAUUAGUCAAAGCAGCCACAAACCAAGAAACUUGUAUUUCCUUGCACAACAAGACUGUCAAAGCAACUUCCAAAUAUUUUCUCACUAUAAAUAGACUGGAUUCCCUUGAAGAUCAUCAAGAAACUCCAACUUAACUUUGUUCAGCUAAAGAAAGAUAACUAGUUGGCCUACACCAAUACUUUGAUCGAAAAUUGUUUUAGAUAACAAGAGAAAGCAAGAAAUGGGUCGUUUCUCUGCCAUUUUUAGUUUCUUUGUUUCAUCAUCUUCUUCAAGGGUUGCAGAUGAAGCCCGUAAUAAGACAGAGAAAACCAAAAGCAAAUCAAAAUCAUCAGGUGCCCCAAUCGUAGUUUCUUACUUCCCCGUGAACUCAUCUCUCUCUCGCUUGUAGGAAAUUCCAUUCCAGGGAGAUGAAGAAGGGCCAUGUGGUACUUUCUAUGCCGAUAAUCGUGGACCAUCUUCGGCCUUUUUCACAAAAACCAACUGUAUGACAGUGUGGCAAUGCUGCUACGUUAGGCUUUGAAGUGAUUGUAGCAAUUAUGAGUAGCGGAAAUUCUAUCUCAAGACUAUUUCAUGCGUGAUGUUUAUGCAACUCAUCAUAUGGCUGUAGCCGGUACUGUUCUGAAUUAUUUUUUAUUUUAUGGGUAAAAUUUCUUAAAUUUUGCUUAUAUAUACUUUAAUCAGUGGAAUUCGAAGAUAGACGAACAAUGUUCGCAAUCAUUGAUAUAUAGUAUUUAUUUAUAUUAAAAUAUCUAUGAUCAAGAGUCAAGAUUAUAAAAAAUCAUAGUAAAUAAAUAAUCUAGCAAUAUUGCUUUAAGAGCCACAUGCCCACAACCACCAUACAAUCAACUAAUUUGGGACUGUCGCUUGCUAAUAUAAUAUUCAACUAAGACUUAGCACACAUAUGUAUGAUUAGUAUAUAGUAUUAUAUCAGAUCUUCCUUGCUUUGGAAGCUCAGAAUAUAAAAAUCUCCCAUUUUGUGUGGUCAAAACAGCCACAACAUGUGAAAAUUGAUUUUCCUUUUCUUUCCAGGCAAAGCAUAAGCUUCUCUCGUAC